UAUCCUACGGGAGGCAGCAGUGGGGAAUAUUGCACAAUGGGGGGAACCCUGAUGCAGCGACGCCGCGUGAGUGAAGAAGUAUUUCGGUAUGUAAAGCUCUGUCAGCAGGGAAGAAGAAAGACGGUACCUGACCAAGAAGCCCCGGCUAACUACGUGCCAGCAGCCGCGGUAAUACGUAGGGGGCAAGCGUUAUCCGGAUUUACUGGGUGUAAAGGGAGCGCAGGCGGCUUGGCAAGUCUGAUGUGAAAGGCUGUGGCUCAACCCCAGGAAUGCAUUGGAGACUGGUACGCUGGAGUGUCGGGUAG
rnacentral:rRNA from 1 species